GACGUAGGGCGCAAGCGUUGUCCGGAUUUAUUGGGCGUAAAGAGCUCGUAGGCGGCUUGUUGCGUCGACCGUGAAAACCCGUGGCUCAACUGCGGGCUUGCGGUCGAUACGGGCGGGCUAGAGUUCGGUAGGGGAGACUGGAAUUCCUGGUGUAGCGGUGAAAUUCGUAGAUAUCGGGAGGAACACCGGUGGCGAAGGCGGCGACCUGGGUCGACACUGACGCUGAGGCGCGAAAGCGUGGGGAGCAAACAGG
rnacentral:rRNA from 1 species